AGAGAAGGUUACAAGAGCGGACGGGGGAUGCCUGGGCUUCAGGAGGCGAGGAAGGACGUGGCAAGCUGCGCAAAGGCGCGGGGAUCCGCAAGCAGGAAAUGAUCCGCGCAUGUCCGAAUGGGGAAACCCGGCGGGCCGAAUGCCCGCCACCGGAUGCAUGUCCGGGGCGAACGCAGGGAACUGAAACAUCUAAGUACCUGCAGGAGGAGAAAGAAACAUCGAUUCCCUCAGUAGCGGCGAGCGAAGGGGGAAGAGCCCAAACCGGGCGCGUCGAGGCGCGCGCGGGGUAGUAGGACGCGUCAUAAGGGGACCUAAAGGAACCGGAACGGACUGGGAAGUCCGGCCAUAGGGGGUGACAGCCCCGUACGGGCAACGGAGGGUCUUGGGACGCGGACCUGAGUACGGCAGGACACGAGGAAUCCGGCCGGAAUCGGCGGGGACCAUCCCGCAAGGCUAAAUACUACCUGAAGACCGACAGCGAACCAGUACCGUGAGGGAAAGGUGGGAAGCACCCCGGACAGGGGAGUGAAAAAGAACCUGAAACCGUCCGUUCACGAGCGGUCGGAGCACGAGAGUGCGACGGCGUGCCUUUUGCAUAAUGAGCCUACGAGUUGCCGUAUCCGGCGAGGUUAAGGUGCCUGAGGCACGGAGCCGGAGCGAGAGCGAGUCUGAACAGGGCGUUCAGUCGGGUGCGGCAGACGCGAAACCUAGUGAUCUACCCUUGGCCAGGCUGAAGGGUCCGUAGCAGGAUCUGGAGGGCCGAACCGGUUUACGUUGAAAAGUGCUCGGAUGAGCUGAGGGUAGGGGUGAAAGGCUAAUCAAACUGGGAGAUAGCUCGUACUCCCCGAAAUGUCUUUAGGGACAGCCCUGUCUCUUAUACACAUCUCCGAGCCCACGAGACACU
rnacentral:rRNA from 1 species